AUCCAGUUGACGAGUCCUAACUAGGACGAAACGUGUGUUAUGGAU
rnacentral:hammerhead_ribozyme from 1 species